GGUUUUAACCCAGUUACUCAAGGUACGCUGGAGUUCCGACCAUUCGAAAGAGUGUGUCGAACAACUUUAAAGGGGGUGCCAA
rnacentral:sRNA from 1 species